GGCCUUUAUAUUUAUAGCUUCUGCGACUGAUUGACGUGUAUUAAUUUUUCGCCUUGGUUCUAUUGCCUCCACUUCCACGUGUGAUUCUUCGGUAGAAGUUAUAGUUUUAGAGCUAGUUCCUUCUCCUUUUUCUUCUUUUCUCUGUUAUCUACGGAUCUUCGGUUCAUCACAAAAUCUCGUCCAGCAUUUCAUAUGAUGGUUCCAUUCUAAGUUAAUGGUGUCAGAGUUCUUCUCGAUGUAUGAAUUGACAGAUCCGUCAUCGAUGUUCUCGUACGAUUUCUUAGCUAUUUCAGCUUGUUGACAUUUAAGUUUGGCCCAUUUUGACCUACACUCAAGAAAUUUCUUAAGCCUUUGGCGUGUAACUUUGCAAAGUUGCUCCGUAACGCUCAAAAUGCAUAAAACAUGAGGAUAUUCGAGUUUUAUAAAUAUCUUCAGCCAUG